rnacentral:rRNA from 1 species
AUGACCAUAGAUCGAACCUAUCCUAUUUUUACAGUGCGAUGGCUGGCUAUUCACGGACUAGGAGCCCAAGUUAUGCUAUUGAAAAUUCGUUCCUCUAGCAGUUCCGGUUUGAGCAUUCCGUUCCCUUUUUCAAACUCCACUUCUUUUCAUAUAGCAUCCCUGAUCAAAGAGAGAACAAUAUCCAUUUCAAAACAUUUCUAACAGAUUCCUUAGUUCGGACCGACGAAGUAA